AAAAACAUGUCCUUUUGUUUAUGAUUUAAGGUCUGACCUGCCCAAUGAUUAUUUGAAUGGCCGCAGUAUUUUGACUGUGCAAAGGUAGCAUAAUCAUUAGUUUUUUAAAUGGAAGCUGGUAUGAAUGGUUUGAUGAGAAAGUUACUGUCUCAAUAUGAUUGAUUUUGAAUUUUAAUUUUAAGUUAAAAAGCUUAAAUGUUUUAGAAAGACGAGAAGACCCUAUAGAGUUUUAUUUUUUAUUUAUAAUAAUUUUUAUUGGUUUUAUUAUUUUAUUUUAUUUAAAGAAUUUUGUUGGGGUGAUGUAAAAAUUUGGUUAACUUUUUAUUUAUUAAUACAUAUAUUUAUGAAUUUUUGAUCCUUUAUUAGAGAUUAUAAGAUUAAAUUACCUUAGGGAUAACAGCGUAAUUUUUUUGGAGAGUUCUUAUCGAUAAAGAAGUUUGCGACCUCGAUGU
rnacentral:rRNA from 1 species